UGUCUUGACUUUAUUUAUCAAAGAAAUAAAACUUCUGGUCUUGACAUGAGGAUAUUUUUUGUAAUUUUGGCUUUAGUUUUGAUCUCGAAGAUAUUAACAGUCAACCCAUCUAUUCUCUAUGGACAAUUACUUAAUCUACAUCCAGUUAAGAAACGUUCUGCUUCGCAACCACCUAUACCACCAGAGGAUGUAUCGUGUGCUGCAUGCAAAGAAAAGUUUAAAAAUUCAAGGCAAUGCAGUAGAUUUUGUUCAUCAGCUCCAGGUAUGACCUAACAUCGCUUUAACGAGAAAAUAACACACUGGAAAGUACACGUGUUGGAAAAGGAGAGAAAACCAUUUAAAUUUAUAGCGUUUAUAAGCAAUAAACCAAAAAUGUAA